rnacentral:rRNA from 1 species
GGAUUAAUUCGAUGCAACGCGAAGAACCUUACCAGGUCUUGACAUCCCACGAAUUCAUCUGAAAGGAUGGAGUGCCUUCGGGAGCGUGGAGACAGGUGGUGCAUGGUUGUCGUCAGCUCGUGUCGCGAGAUGUUGGGUUAAGUCCCGCAACGAGCGCAACCCUUGCUAUUAGUUGCUAACAGGUAGAGCUGAGCACUCUAAUGGGACUGCCGGUGACAAGCCGGAGGAAGGUGGGGAUGACGUCAAAUCAUCAUGCCCUUUAUGACCUGGGCUACACACGUGCUACAAUGGAUGGUACAGAGAGCAGCGAGGCAGCGAUGUGGAGCGAAUCUCAAAAAGCCAUUCUCAGUUCGGAUUGGAGUCUGCAACUCGACUCCAUGAAGUCGGAAUCGCUAGUAAUCGCGAAUCAGCAUGCCGCGGUGAAUGCGUUCCCGGGCCUU